GAUGAACGCUGGCGGCGUGCUUAACACAUGCAAGUCGAACGGAAAGACCCUGCUCUUGUGGCGUGCUCGUGAGCCGCGCGCGGGAGUCACACGUGAGUAACCUGCCCUUAUCUUUCGGAUAACUCUACGAAACUGUGGCUAAAAUAGCAUAGGAGCUACUGCUCCCUGGGGGGGGUUGGAGAGUGUCGGCGGUGGGGGAUGGGCUCGCGGCUUAUCAGCUUGUUGGUGGGGUAGUGUCUUACCAAGGCUUCGACGGGUAGCCGGCCUGGGCGGGUGACCGGCCACAAUGCGACUGAGGUACGGCGCAGACGCCUACGGGAGGCAGCAGUGGGGAAGAUUGCACAGCAGGCGGAAGCCUGAUGCAGCAGCGCUGCGUGCGGGAGGACGUCCUACGAGGUGUAAACCGCUGUCGCCUGUGACGAAGAGGGAGUGACGGUAAUUGGUAAAGAAGCACCGGCUAACUACGUG
rnacentral:rRNA from 1 species